AGAGCACUGGAGGAGAGGUCUUUCGGGAAUGGAUAUGUGACAUAGGCUGAUGCCAUUGGUUGGUUGAAUCGGCCGCUCAAAUGUGUGACCGCAUGGCCCAUCAUUAAGAGGCAGAAUCUUCAUCCUUCUUCCCUGAACCUGGCUGGGGUUUGCAACUGUUUAAGCAAGCAGAGUGUGGGACAUUAGCUGUGGGGAAGCCCAGGACAAGUGAAGAGGCUACAUGUAGGUGUUUUGGCCAAUAGCCCUGGCAUCAACCGCCAGACAUCCGAGUGAAGAAGACUUUCCUCUCCAGCUCUAGCCCUGCUCUUACUAUAACUGUGGGACAGAACCACUGAGCUGAGCCUGCCAUCCUCCCAAACCAAAAGAGUUAAUAACAGUAGUAGGAGAAGCAACAAUAAUAACAGCAGUAAUAAUAAUAAAAAAUGUUUCAUGUCAC
ensembl:lncRNA